rnacentral:rRNA from 1 species
CAAUAGCGUAUAUUAAAGUUGUUGCAGUUAAAAAGCUCGUAGUUGGAUUUGUGGCGUACGGUGUGUUCCGGGCACUUGUUGUCUGAGUAACCUGCUGUUGCCAUCCUUGGGUGGAACCUGUGUGGCAUUAGGUUGUCGUGCAGGGGAUGCCCAUCAUUUACUGUGAAAAAAUUAGAGUGUUCAAAGCAGGCUUAUGCCGUUGAAUAUAUUAGCAUGGAAUAAUGAGAUAGGACUUUUUUGCUAUUUUGUUGGUUUGCGCAAGAAGGUAAUGAUUAAUAGGGACAGUUGGGUGUAUUCGUAUUCCAUUGUCAGAGGUGAAAUUCUUGGAUUUUUGGAAGACGAACUACUGCGAAAGCAUUUACCAAGGAUGUUUUCAUUAA